rnacentral:rRNA from 1 species
AUUGAACGCUGGCGGCAUGCCUUACACAUGCAAGUCGAACGGCAGCACGGGAGCAAUCCUGGUGGCGAGUGGCGAACGGGUGAGUAAUAUAUCGGAACGUGCCCAGUCGUGGGGGAUAACGUAGCGAAAGCUACGCUAAUACCGCAUACGAUCUACGGAUGAAAGCGGGGGAUCGCAAGACCUCGCGCGAUUGGAGCGGCCGAUAUCAGAUUAGGUAGUUGGUGAGGUAAAGGCUCACCAAGCCGACGAUCUGUAGCUGGUCUGAGAGGACGACCAGCCACACUGGGACUGAGACACGGCCCAGACUCCUACGGGAGGCAGCAGUGGGGAAUUUUGGACAAUGGGCGCAAGCCUGAUCCAGCAAUGCCGCGUGCAGGAUGAAGGCCUUCGGGUUGUAACUGCUUUUGUACGGAACGAAACGGUGAGCUCUAAUACAGUUUGCUAAUGACGGUACCGUAAGAAUAAGCACCGGCUAACUACGUG